GAUGAACGCUGGCGGCGUGCCUAAUACAUGCAAGUCGAGCGAACGGACGAGAAGCUUGCUUUUCUGAUGUUAGCGGCGGACGGGUGAGUAACACGUGGAUAACCUACCUAUAAGACUGGGAUAACUUCGGGAAACCGGGGCUAAUACCGGAUAAUAUUUUGAACCGCAUGGUUCAAAAGUGAAAGACGGUCUUGCUGUCACUUAUAGAUGGAUCCGCGCUGCAUUAGCUAGUUGGUAAGGUAACGGCUUACCAAGGCAACGAUGCAUAGCCGACCUGAGAGGGGGAUCGGCCACACGGGAACUGAGACACGGUCCAGACUCCUACGGGAGGCAGCAGUAGGGAAUCUUCCGCAAUGGGCGAAAGCCUGACGGAGCAACGCCGCGUGAGUGAUGAAGGUCUUCGGAUCGUAAAACUCUGUUAUUAGGGAAGAACAUAUGUGUAAGUAACUGUGCACAUCUUGACGGUACCUAAUCAGAAAGCCACGGCUAACUACGUG
rnacentral:rRNA from 1 species